rnacentral:lncRNA from 1 species
GGACUUGAGCGACAAAACAGGAAACGGCGGCCGCAGCUGAUUCAUUCGCUUCGCGCGUGGGGCUCGCGGCAGGCGGCGGCGUGGAGCCCGGGGCUGCGGGACGCGGACGUCCCGGAGCCGCUCGCCGGUCUGCGGGGCGAGCCCCUGCUCCCACCCCCUCCCCCCGAGCCGGCCACCAGGGGCAGCAUCCCAACGCAGGGAAGCCCGUGCUCGCGCGCCACUGAGAAUCCGCCCGCCGUCCCCGUGCCAAAGUUGGCCUUGCAGCACUUUGCGCCCCUCCCUGGAGGCUGACCCGCGACGUCAAGCUGGAGCAUCUCAGCCAGCCUGAGCCCGGCCCCACUAGUCCAACCUCAGCCCCCCGCGCGCCGCCGGGCCCUGCAAUAUGAAGGAGCAGCCCUCAUGUGCGGGCACCGGGCAUCCGAGCAUGGCGGGGUACGGCAGGAUGGCCCCCUUUGAACUCGCUGGUGGUCCCGUGAAGCGCUUACGAACUGAGUCCUCCUUUCCCUGUCUCUUCGCAGAGGAGGCCUACCAGAAACUGGCCAGCGAGACCCUGGAGGAGCUGGACUGGUGUCUGGACCAGCUAGAGACCCUGCAGACCAGGCACUCCGUCAGUGAGAUGGCCUCCAACAAGGUAAGCCCCUGUUCUGGUUCUGGUGUCAGUGACGCGGCUAGACUGCUGUUUCCCACGCUGGGGAAUCACCGAUCCCUGUGACCUGGGGAAAUACAGAGAAAAUUUUGUCACGUUGACUGCAAGUUAGCUGUUCUGCUCCUCUGGAGGGAGGUUCCUGUUUGCACACCUCUCUUCAGGUAGAUUAAACAUUUUAUUUGCAAAACCAACUUUGGCAGAGUUCGAGUAUCCCUAGGACGAAGGGUCCUUAGAGUGACAUUUUGCCCUUGAAGCAGAAACCCAGUAGGGUCUGGUGGUGGCGUUGCAUAUCAUCAAAGGCACUGCUUAAGAUUGCUUGUUGGAAAAAAGCGUUGCAGGACUCAGUGAAGGCACCAGGACGCCACCUCCUACCUCGCUGAAACUCUGAAGAGUUCACUGAACUUGCAACCCUCACUCCCAUUUCUCUGGUUCUCAGGGUACCUUGGGAGGAUGGAGCCUUUAAAUAUUCUGUUCCCUGUAUGUACCAUCUGCAGAGAACAAAGUUCGGAGGGUCUUAUGCUGCCUUUGUCUCCUUCGGUCUUGGAGAACAGGUCCAGGUUUCUGAGGUCAUUUAGCCGCCACUAGGCUUCAGCUGGGCAUUUGUGUCAUGUGUGCCAAAGCGCUGCUGGUCUUGGCAAUUAAUGAAGUAACCUUCAGCAUCAGGCAGCUGUUAAGCAGCUUGGGAGAUAAGGUAGAAUACUUCCAGAGUUACAUGUAAAACAACAAAAUCAUGUGUUUUACGUCUUCGGCUAUGCAAAGAAAUAAUUGAGAUUAUGUGUUUUUUAAUGACCGGGUGGCCUAGGGGCCAGGGAAGGAGGCUUCUACGUAUUUGAUGCAAACGGCCGAACGAGUCAAUCAGGAUCUGUGGCAGUUAGAAGGAGUUGUCUCUGUAGACGGUUCUUGUAGUUUUGGACACCUCUUUACAAGGUCAAGAGGGUGGUGACAUUUUGCCUCUUGUAUCCCUGUCUGUCGGUGAAUGAUGCUUUCUUUUUUUGGUUCUGUUUGCUCAGCAUGGUUUCUUUCCCACCUGCUUUAUUUCUCAUGCAGAAUAUAUAUAUAUAUAUAUAUGCCUUAGCUUGUCAGGCAGCCAUGGGAUUGUUGUAUCCAGAACACUUUUCAUAGAGUUAGCAUUGUUGCUGAAGUGAAAAGUUGGCCUUUAACUAACCGGGCUCCCCAAAAGUACUAGCUCACCGGUUUGUACCAUAUUGAUAAUCAAAUCUGCAUUCUUGCCCUUUUAUUUUUCCCCCUGUGGUCAUCUGGGCCUCAUUUCUAAAUUCAGCUCGGCUCUUCAUUCCAAUGACAGUUACUGCUUUCUACUAGGACUAUUACCUCCGAGAAGCAGCAUUGAGUGCCAUUGUUCUCCUAGGACUAACAAGCUGUGACAUUUGUUAAAAUAUAACCUUAUCUUUUUAUAAUUUGCUUUAUAAAGCAGAAGACACAUGCUGAAUAUGUCCAGUGUCUUAAGCGCUGAGCGGGCCGUUAUCGGUAAGCCCGUGUUCUCGUAUCUCUUGUAUAAAUGUGGCAAGAGACAGAUCAAACUCUGAAAGCCCCUUGGCCAGAUACAUGCAUUUGCCUGUUAUUUCAGCCUCAUUUGACAAUACUUUCAACAUAAUUUGACCACACUUUGCAUGCACUUUCCCUAAAAUCCAUAUUCUCGAUGGUGAAACCUGCAUUUGAGUUUAAUAAUUGAUGUGAGAUCGAACAGCAUCGUGACUUAAACUGUGAAGUGACUUAUGUCUGUGUUUUAGACUGAAAACUUUAUGUCACAGGGAUUGCUCAAAAUAAUGCCUGUCUUUUAUAGGCACCAAAUUAGACAGGGCUGUGUCUUUUUU